rnacentral:lncRNA from 1 species
GACCCCCAGGUUGUGGCAUGUUGGCAUAACCCUAGAUAGUAACAUGCUGUUCUGUUUGUCAUUCCAGGACAACAUGGACAGGAAGUGAAGCCAGCUCUGAGAAUAAUCUAAAGGCACCCGUGACAGUUUGUAACAUCAGAACUCCAGGACACUCCAGUGGUGACAUCCUGUGGAGCCAUAGAUUAAAGUAAGUACCUCACAGAAACAUCAGUAGACACCAGCAUUUGGUUAAGAAACGCGACUCGUGCACCAG